GGAUAGGCUCAUUGUUUAGGUCAGAGAAAACUGUUAAAACAAGGAAUUUAGUGACUUGGGCUUCUGGUUUUCUUGGGUCUUGGGUCUUGGUUGAUUGGGACCAGGGAAGAUGCUUAUUGAGUUGGUGGAGAUUCUGCCCUCUCAGAUGACACUCUGGAUGUCUGGCUGGAUUCCCUCCUCACCACCCUGUGGGAGAUUUGCAAGGGAUGUAAGAAGGAGAUCUGGGUGCUGCUGGU
rnacentral:lncRNA from 1 species